AUGGCCUGCGGCGGCGGCGGCGGCAUUUUUAACCGGGCGCUGGGCUACGUCGUCAACGAGUUCCUCGUCCAGGGCCUCGCCAACAACCGUGCCUUCCAGAGGUUUGCUGUGAGGACUAGCAAGACUUUCGAGAAUCUCUCAUCUGGAGUUAAACAAGUGAGGGAGGAGGUGUCAGAGCAAAUUAGGGAUCCUCGUGGGCAUGAUAAUGGCUUCAAGCAGUGA
rnacentral:rRNA from 1 species